AUUGAACGCUGGCGGCAUGCUUUACACAUGCAAGUCGAACGGCAGCGCGGGCUUCGGCCUGGCGGCGAGUGGCGAACGGGUGAGUAAUGCAUCGGAACGUGCCCAGUCGUGGGGGGUAGCACGGCGAAAGCCGGAUUAAUCUAGCAUCCGACCAGAGCGUUAAAGCGGGGGUCCGAAAGGCCUCGAGCCAUUGGCGCGGCCGAAUGCGGAUUCGCCAGUUGGUGGGGUAAAGGCUUACCAAGGCGACGAUCCGUAGCUGGUCUGAGAGGACGACCAGCCACACUGGGACUGAGACACGGCCCAGACUCCUACGGGAGGCAGCAGUGGGGAAUUUUGGACAAUGGGGGCAGCCCUGAUCCAGCCAGGCCGCUGGCGGGAAGAAGUCCUUCGGGUUUUAAACCGCUUUUGUUCGGGAAGAAAUCCUCUGGGCUAAUACCCCGAGGGGAUGACGGUACCGGAAGAAUAAGCACCGGCUAACUACGUG
rnacentral:rRNA from 1 species